rnacentral:rRNA from 1 species
CCUACGGGAGGCAGCAGUGAGGAAUAUUGGUCAAUGGCCGGAAGGCUGAACCAGCCAUGCCGCGUGAAGGUCAGUGCCCUAUGGGCGUUAAACUUCUUUUGUGCGGGAGCAAUAAUGGUCACGUGUGGCCAGACGAGAGUACCGUACGCAUAAGCAUCGGCUAACUCCGUGCCAGCAGCCGCGGUAAUACGGGAGGUGCAAGCGUUAUCCGGAUUUAUUGGGUUUAACGGGUGCGGAGGCUGUGAUGUAAGUCAGCGGGGAAAUGCCCACGCUCAACGGGGUGAAGUGCCAUUGAUACUGCCUGGCUGGAAUGCGGAUGCCGUGGGAGGAAUGUGUGGUGUAGCGGUGAAAUGCAUAGAUAUCACACAGAACACCGAUUGCGAAGGCAUCUCACGAAUCCGCGAUUGACGCUGAUGCACGAAAGCGUGGGUAUCAAACAGGAUUAGAUACCCCAGUAGUC